GUGACUUUUUUGGGGGAGGUUUUUAAGAGAUUCAUUACCUGCUUGCUUGCACUACAAUGCAUAGCUCACAAUGAUUUAUGUAGCACUCCCACGGAAACAAGGGCAGAAACAGUGGGAAGAGGAAAAAGCUGAAUAGCCAUCUGAUUGGGAUAUAAAUACAGUCUGCGGGGUGUCUGGCGCUGACGGAUUAGCUGCAAUGCAGCGUACGCAGACAAGUAGUGCAUGUUUGUGGCAAACGCUUGUGACAAAAAGAAGAAGAGACAGAGAAAGAGCGUGUGCAUUCAGGAAAAAAAUCAUCUGGAGUGGCUUCAGAGAUCGGGAUCUCGCUUCCACAGUACAGGGAGAAUAACUUUUUUCUAUGCAAUAAAGUAAAAAAAGAAGUAGUACAGGAAGGAUGGCGUGGUGAUGUGUGGUUGCCUUUUGUGAGGAAGCAGCCAAUCAAUCACUUUGAAGAGGGCGCGAACUGAGCUGGGUGGAGUGAGCAACAGGUUGUGGGGGGGCGCCUGAGAGUGAUUGGCCAUCGACUCCCACUCUUUAACGUUGCAAGCUCACCAAGGAAGGCGCUCGAACUUUCCUCCUUAUUCUGUCUAUAGCCAUCUGCAUCUUGUCUUGCUCAAGCAAGCCUUGCACCAUUGUUUAUCACUUAGUCUUUUCCUACCCGAUUAGCAGUGUGAAUUUAAAACAGUUUUAUUUUCUACUGACAUCUUUUUUUUUUUUAAUAAAAAUAAAAUCACACAGUUUCUGCUUUAGGCUCCAACUUGUCACAAACCAUAACAGCAAGGGAGUAAACUCACUUUUGCUGCGGGUCACAUUGCAUUUACAAUUAUGAUUCUAAAACUAAAUGUUUAAUUGCCUAACAUUAUUCCAUAUACAUGACAAAUUGAUGGAUUACCAAUUUAGAAAUGAGAAUUCAAGGAUAAUUGGUUGUUAGGAGCAUUGGCAACAGCAAGUGAUAUGUUGUUAUUACAAAUGACAAUUACACAUUUUGCUACAGAUUUGAGCAACAAUUAUGGAAGUUGAUGCAGAUGAUUUUAAUUUGGGGGCUGCGUAAAAUGUUGUGGAGCACUGGAUCUGGCCCCAGGGCCUUGAAUUUGGUACCUGUGUAAUAGUUUCUGAGUGCUGGAGAUUCAAAUGAAACUAAAUAAGUCUCGGUGAAUCACAUACACUCACAUGUGAAUCUGGAAUGUUCAAUCAGAUGAACAUAAAUACAUAUUCAUUCACUUGACCUCUUGAGAUCAGACAAAUGGGUACAGUUCCUCAGUGUACACUCCAGAACUGAAUUCAGAACUCUUUGGAGGAUCAUUUGUCUUCAUAGAAAGAAUGACUAUGUACUUGACCAAGCACAUUUGUUCUUAUGAAUAGUGUAUGAAGAAAAAGUGGAACCUUGGCUUUUGAGAGAAAUAA